rnacentral:sRNA from 1 species
GCUGGGUGUGGUGGUGCAUGCCUGUAGUCCCAGUGACUUGGGAGGCUGAGGCAGGAGGAUUGCUUGAGCCCAGGAGUUUGAGGCUGCAGUGAGCUAUGAUCAUGUCACUGCACUCCAGCCUGGGUGACAGAGUGAGAUCCCAUCUCAA